ACUGCGAACUUAGUGGUAGCGCGGUUCACCGGCAUGCGCUCCAACUAAGUGCACCACACCUCCCUCUCUCCCUUAUCCCCUCUCAUCACGUUCUCUCUCCCUCCCCUUCCUCCCUCGACUCCGAUCCAGAUCCAGGGCCAUGGUGCGCCCUCUUCCCCAUCGCCGCCGGCCACCAUCCCCACACUUUCUCUCCCUUGUCCCUUGGAUCCAUCUCUUCCAUGGCUGCCUCCCACACCGUCUCCUCCUUCCCCCAUCUCAUCCUGUUUUUCUUGUUUGGGAGCGACGAGGGAUUGGCGAGGCUGGAGGCGAGCUCGUGGAAGAGCGGGAGCGGGGCUGGCGAGGGGAGGGCGCGGAAGAAGGAGAGCGUCGAAGUUGGGGUGGGCACGGUGCAGAUGCCGUGGAGCGCGACCAGGGGGUCGUCCGGUGGGGGCGGCGGCGGGAGGAAGGGGAGCGGAGGCGGAGGCGCAGCAAGUCAAUGAGGCACGCACGGCGGAGUUAGGUGGCGACACAGCUGUCGAGUGGGGGCAUCGCGUGGCAGAGGAGCGGCUAUCAGGCGGGGGCAUCGCGUGGCAGAGGAGACGGCAGCGGCGGCGAGACGAGGGACGCCCGAGCUCCUCGGCCCAGCUCAACAGAAGGUUUUACAGCUCGAGUCAUACUCAGAUAUGCCCAUCAGUUCAGCAACAUCACAGAUAGAAAAGCAUAUCUGGUCUGAUGGAAUAGAAGAAAGCACAUGUGAACUCAAGAACAAUACAACACAUUACAUAGUGGGGGAGAACAGCCAGUUUGGGGGAAAUAUACUUGUAGAUCAGUAGAAGAUUUGCAAACUACAACCAUGGCUCAAGGACUGCAACCCUGGAUCACGAAGAUGCAUGAAAAAACACACACAAUUCAGUACAUAAAAUGGUUCCAUGGAUUAAACAUUAAAGCCUCAUUCCCUAAAACUGGAAAAUUCAGUAGAAGCUUUGCACAUAGCAGUCAUCGCCGCCAACGAUGUGCAAACCAGAAAAACGGGGAACGUUGGACCUAGGCCAGAAUCUUCAAUCACCGCGUGCGUUCUCUUGCUACCCUCGAAUUGACAUCAUGCAACUGCAAUCAAUCAGCAGUAAGCAUCAUCUAGGUGUAUUGAUCAUGUGUGCCAGGUCUUGUUAUUGUUUCAGUUAGUGUGCCACGCGCUGGACAAGAAGGUCAAGAGCAGGGUCCACUUCAAGGAUAUGGAUGACUAUCUGAAGGGAUGCAGGUUUCUUCCCAAACUUAACAACAAGAUACUAGGUGAAAGAAAUGCUCCCUACAAGGAAAGGUUGAGCAGCCUAGAGAAUUUAGUACUGAUCAGAACUUUGUGAAUCCACAUGAGCUAGGGGUUGCACCGUAGGAGCAUAGUGUGUACAAGUAUUGAACACUGAAGAUUGCAUUGCAGCUCAUCAGUACGCCUUCCUUGCAAUCUUUGAAG